rnacentral:rRNA from 1 species
GAUGAACGCUGGCGGCGUGCCUAAUACAUGCAAGUCGAGCGAACAGAUGAGGAGCUUGCUCCUCUGACGUUAGCGGCGGACGGGUGAGUAACACGUGGAUAACCUACCUAUAAGACUGGGAUAACUUCGGGAAACCGGAGCUAAUACCGGAUAAUAUAUUGAACCGCAUGGUUCAAUAGUGAAAGACGGUUUUGCUGUCACUUAUAGAUGGAUCCGCGCCGCACUAGCUAGUUGGUAAGGUAACGGCUUACCAAGGCAACGAUGCGUAGCCGACCUGAGAGGGUGAUCGGCCACACUGGAACUGAGACACGGUCCAGACUCCUACGGGAGGCAGCAGCAGGGAAUCUUCCGCAAUGGGCGAAAGCCUGACGGAGCAACGCCGCGUGAGUGAUGAAGGUCUUCGGAUCGUAAAACUCUGUUAUUAGGGAAGAACAAAUGUGUAAGUAACUAUGCACGUCUUGACGGUACCUAAUCAGAAAGCCACGGCUAACUACGUG